AUUAGAGAAAGACUAGAAAAACUUUUGUCUACUUUGUCUUAGCAUUGAGCUUGCUUACCCACAUUCUGGUUUGCAUGACCUAUUUUUUGUAUUUCAGCAUUUUGUGAACAACUUAUCACUGAUUUAACAAAGGCUUUGUGCUCAUGAAGUUCUUUGAAGGGGCGCUCUAUGGAAGUCCAGAGUAACGUGAAGCUGCUCUCGAUGAAGAAGUGAAGUGGGAAUUGAGGACUGCAACCUGCCACAACCAUCUUUACCACCAUGGUGAUGCCUAAAGGGACUUCCUUAUGUAAAAUUCUUCAGAAAAUACUGCUUGAAACCACUACCCUAGAAAAACGUGUUUGACAUGAAUGGCAUUCUCUUCUUUUAUGUACUUCUAACUCAGAACAGUUCAUAUUCAGUUGAAGAUGCUUUAUCCAGAGAAUGAUAACUACAGCAUUGUCUAAUGAAGUUUUAAUAGCAUUCCAUCCAAGGUGGACUUCCUGGAGUUGGAUAUAACCAGAGAACAAUUCAUAUGUAUCCUACACUGAAGAACCCCAUUAACUUUCAGAAACCUAAAACUAGUGGUACUGGAAGUACGUGACUUGGAAGUCUGUGUAAAUUGCCUGAGAGCUGGUAUUGAAGCUGAUGCCUCCUCGAGGCCAUCUUAGACCAAGUUGUUCGGUUGUUAACUAUGGUACUCCAUGUACAAAGGAUAACCAUUAACUAUGAAGCAGAAUUGAAAUACAAUUUUUCCUAAAGGGACUUGCAACCUGGUUAUUCAUUGUCUCGAGUUUCAAGUCAUUUUGAUGCAACUAGUAGUUAUUAAACUGCUCCAUGUCUUUUUGUUAUUUAAUAAAUACUCUUUCCAGGGCUUAAAAAACCAAAACUAAAUUUCUCCAACACGUCUGUACUUGUCUAUUCAAAAUUAACUACUCACCACUACAUGGAAGAGAUGAUUCUGAAGACACGCUCUUUGAGCAUCUUUUAUCAUACAUGUGACUUAAAAUGUGGCUGGACAGUUUCCCUCUACCCAGUGAAAUAUUUAAUGAUUAGCCUUCAUUCAUGCCUGAUACCAUCGAUAUAUAUGUAUGUGGUGGGCAAAGUUUGACAUAGGCAUUUGACUCUAGGAUGUGAUAGCUUGUUAGUCACUUCAAGUAGCAUAUUGUCAACCUGUUUGCUGGAAAAAUAGACUAACUUGGAAAAAUCUAUAAAUGGCAGCUAAGAAUUUUUUUCAGUAUUCCUGAGUUUCUGUCCUUGGGAUAUUUCAAUGGAAUUUCACCUGUCCCUUCACUGA
rnacentral:lncRNA from 1 species